UAAGAGUUGCGUUAGGGAUAGUAGUGGAAAUCCUUUGCUGUAUAGCAAAGAUUGAAACGGAUAGCCCGACCGAGC
rnacentral:sRNA from 1 species